rnacentral:rRNA from 1 species
AGAAUCAACGCUGGCGGCGUGCCUAACACAUGCAAGUCGCAACGAGAAAGGGGAGCAAUCCCUGAGUAAAGUGGCGCACGGGUGAGUAACACGUGAAUGAUCUACCUCCGAGUGGGGAAUAACUGAGAGAAAUCUUAGCUAAUACCGCAUAACACUUACGAGUCAAAGCAGCAAUGCGCUUGGAGAGGAGUUCGCGGCCGAUUAGCUAGUUGGCGGGGUAAUGGCCCACCAAGGCGAUGAUCGGUA